AACUUCCCCAAAAUAACUUCCAGAACAACUUCACAACCUGUUGAUUUGGGCUGCAGUCCAUCUGGCUUCAUAUGUUACCUAGAAGGACAACAAAGGCAGGACUGUUGCCCCCUGAAGUGGAAAUAGCACUGUCCGUUGCACAUAACGGCACAGAAUGUAAUCAUAGAAGCUUGGUCUAGAAUAACCACGAUAAAGCUGACCCUUGAACAACAUGGGGUUGAGCUACGUGAAUCCACUUACGUGCAGAUUUUUUUUCAAUCAGUGUGGGUGGAAGUAGUGCCAGCCAUCUCCAAGCUGUUAGACUAGACUUGAAGUUCCAUAUAGACUCGCACUCUCUGACACUAGAAUCCUGUGCAGAAAUCCAUCUCCGUGUGAGCUUUGCAACCAAAUAUUCCUUGUACCGGUAAACGUCACGGGUCUACCUUCUGUCAUGUCUCGAGUACUAGCAAUGAAAGUGUCCUUUCUCUUGUUGAGUGCAUUGGUUUAAAGAAUCUCCAGAUCUAUUUUGAAAGGUAUCUGGAAGGUAAGUAUGAAA